GCGCGUGAGUGAAGAAGGCCUUUGGGUUGUAAAGCUCUUUUGUAGGGGAAGAUAAUGACUGUACCCUAAGAAUAAGGUCCGGCUAACUUCGUGCCAGCAGCCGCGGUAAUACGAAGGGACCUAGCGUAGUUCGGAAUUACUGGGCGUAAAGCGCGCGUAGGCCGUUGAGUUAGUUAAUUGUGAAAUCCCAAAGCUUAACUUUGGAACUGCAAUUAAAACUGCUCGACUAGAGUUUGAUAGAGGAAAGCGGAAUACAUAGUGUAGAGGUGAAAUUCGUAGAUAUUAUGUAGAACACCAGUUGCGAAGGGCGGGCUUUCUCGGGUCAACACUGACGCUGAGGCGCGAAAGUAUGGGUAGCAAAGUGGAUUAAGGAA
rnacentral:rRNA from 1 species